GUUAUAUGGUCAAGUGAAGAAGCGCAUACGGUGGAUGCCUUGGCAGUCAGAGGCGAUGAAAGACGUGGUAGCCUGCGAAAAGCUUCGGGGAGUCGGCAAACAGACUUUGAUCCGGAGAUGUCUGAAUGGGGGAACCCAGCCAUCAUAAGAUGGUUACCUUACACUGAAUACAUAGGUGUAUGGAGCGAACCAGGGGAACUGAAACAUCUAAGUACCCUGAGGAAAAGAAAUCAACCGAGAUUCCCUUAGUAGUGGCGAGCGAACGGGGACUAGCCCUUAAGUGGCUUUGAGAUUAGCGGAACGCUCUGGAAAGUGCGGCCAUAGUGGGUGAUAGCCCUGUACGCGAAAAUCUCUUAGUCAUGAAAUCGAGUAGGACGGAGCACGAGAAACUUUGUCUGAAUAUGGGGGGACCAUCCUCCAAGGCUAAAUACUACUGACUGACCGAUAGUGAACUAGUACCGUGAGGGAAAGGCGAAAAGAACCCCGGAGAGGGGAGUGAAAUAGAUCCUGAAACCGUAUGCGUACAAGCAGUGGGAGCCCACUUUGUUGGGUGACUGCGUACCUUUUGUAUAAUGGGUCAGCGACUUAUUUUCAGUGGCGAGCUUAACCGAAUAGGGGAGGCGUAGCGAAAGCGAGUCUUAAUAGGGCGUCUAGUCGCUGGGAAUAGACCCGAAACCGGGCGAUCUAUCCAUGGGCAGGUUGAAGGUUGGGUAACACUAACUGGAGGACCGAACCGACUACCGUUGAAAAGUUAGCGGAUGACCUGUGGAUCGGAGUGAAAGGCUAAUCAAGCUCGGAGAUAGCUGGUUCUCCUCGAAAGCUAUUUAGGUAGCGCCUCAUGUAUCACUGUAGGGGGUAGAGCACUGUUUCGGCUAGGGGGUCAUCCCGACUUACCAAACCGAUGCAAACUCCGAAUACCUACAAGUGCCGAGCAUGGGAGACACACGGCGGGUGCUAACGUCCGUCGUGAAAAGGGAAACAACCCAGACCGUCAGCUAAGGUCCCAAAGUUAUGGUUAAGUGGGAAACGAUGUGGGAAGGCUUAGACAGCUAGGAGGUUGGCUUAGAAGCAGCCACCCUUUAAAGAAAGCGUAAUAGCUCACUAGUCGAGUCGGCCUGCGCGGAAGAUGUAACGGGGCUCAAACCAUACACCGAAGCUACGGGUAUCACGUAAGUGAUGCGGUAGAGGAGCGUUCUGUAAGCCUGUGAAGGUGAGUUGAGAAGCUUGCUGGAGGUAUCAGAAGUGCGAAUGCUGACAUGAGUAACGACAAUGGGUGUGAAAAACACCCACGCCGAAAGACCAAGGUUUCCUGCGCAACGUUAAUCGACGCAGGGUUAGUCGGUCCCUAAGGCGAGGCUGAAAAGCGUAGUCGAUGGAAAACAGGUUAAUAUUCCUGUACUUCUGGUUAUUGCGAUGGAGGGACGGAGAAGGCUAGGCCAGCUUGGCGUUGGUUGUCCAAGUUUAAGGUGGUAGGCUGAGAUCUUAGGUAAAUCCGGGAUCUUAAGGCCGAGAGCUGAUGACGAGUCGUCUUUU
rnacentral:rRNA from 1 species